UGGGGAAUAUUGGACAAUGGGCGGAAGCCUGAUCCAGCAACGCCGCGUGAGGGAUGACGGCCUUCGGGUUGUAAACCUCUUUCAGCGGGGGCGAAGUUUUGUCUUUUUGGGCGAAGUGACGGUACCCGCAGAAGAAGCACCGGCCAACUACGUGCCAGCAGCCGCGGUAAUACGUAGGGUGCGAGCGUUGUCCGGAAUUAUUGGGCGUAAAGGGCUCGUAGGCGGUUUGUCACGUCGGGAGUGAAAACUCGGGGCUUAACUCCGAGCCUGCUUCCGAUACGGGCUGACUAGAGGUAUGCAGGGGAGAACGGAAUUCCUGGUGUAGCGGUGAAAUGCGCAGAUAUCAGGAGGAACACCGGUGGCGAAGGCGGUUCUCUGGGCAUUACCUGACGCUGAGGAGCGAAAGUGUGGGGAGCGAACAG
rnacentral:rRNA from 1 species